UUCGGUAUCCUGUGUUGCUUACCUAUUGAAAGGAAUCCGACGGUUCGGUUGGUCCCUUUCCGCCCCACGCCCUCGCGGGUUGUGGGGUGGACGUCAGGCAAGCCUCGUGUUCCCGGCACGCUUCGCCCAGUUGCGUGGCUGCCUCGGCCCACGGGGCGCAUUGCCCGUGCUCUCGGAUGCGGAACGUUACGCGCGGGCGUGGGGUCUUUUGGCUCCGUCGGCCCGAGCAACGCAUUUGUCAAUCGACACGAACGACUGUCGUGCCCGUCUUGAGCCCGCGGCCGUACGGCCCGUCGGGUCUCAUGCGGGCGUCGGCGUCGCGAAGGAAUGCUACCUGGUUGAUCCUGCCAGUAGUCAUAUGCUUGUCUC
rnacentral:misc_RNA from 1 species